UUUUUAGUCGGCGGACGGGUGAGUAACGUGUGGGUAACCUGCCGUUUACUGGGGAAGUAAUCACUGGAAACGGUGACUAAUACCGCAUACGGUUCUUGGAAGGCAUCUUCUGAGAAAGAAAGGAUUUAUUCGGUAAAAGAUGGGCCCGCAUCUGAUUAGCUAGUUGGUGAGAUAACAGCCCACCAAGGCGACGAUCAGUAGCCGACCUGAGAGGGUGACCGGCCACAUUGGGACUGAGACACGGCCCAAACUCCUACGGGAGGCAGCAG
rnacentral:rRNA from 1 species